CCGUAGAGGUUGAUCCUGGCUCAGGAUGAGCGCUGGCGGCGUGCCUAACACAUGCAAGUCGAGCGGGAAUCAGAUGAUUGAAACUUCGGUAGAUAGAUUCUGAGGAGAGCGGCGGACGGGUGAGUAACGCGUAGGCAACCUGCCCCAUUCACAGGGAUAGCCACUGGAAACGGUGAUUAAAACCUGAUGACACCGAGGAUUCACGUGUAACUUCGGUCAAAGAUUUAUCGGAAUGGGAUGGGCCUGCGUCUGAUUAGAUAGUUGGUGAGGUAACGGCCCACCAAGUCAACGAUCAGUAGCCGACCUGAGAGGGUGAUCGGCCACAUUGGAACUGAGACACGGUCCAAACUCCUACGGGAGGCAGCAGUGGGGAAUAUUGCACAAUGGGGGAAACCCUGAUGCAGCAACGCCGCGUGAAGGAUGAAGGUCUUCGGAUUGUAAACUUCUGUCCUAGGGGAAGAUAAUGACGGUACCCUUGGAGGAAGCCCCGGCUAACUACGUGCCAGCAGCCGCGGUAAUACGUAGGGGGCAAGCGUUAUCCGGAAUUAUUGGGCGUAAAGAGUGCGUAGGUGGUUACCUAAGCAGGGGGUGAAAGGCACUGGCUUAACCAAUGUCAGCCCCCUGAACUGGGCUACUUGAGUGCAGGAGAGGAAAGUGGAAUUCCUAGUGUAGCGGUGAAAUGCGUAGAUAUUAGGAGGAACACCAGUGGCGAAGGCGACUUUCUGGACUGUUACUGACACUGAGGCACGAAAGUGUGGGGAACAAACAGGAUUAGAUACCCUGGUAGUCCACACCGUAAACGAUGAGCACUAGGUGUCGGGUGGUCAGACCAUUCUGUGCCGGGAGUUAACACAAUAAGUAAUCCACCUGGGGAGUACGGCCGCAAGGUUGAAACUCAAAGGAAUUGACGGGGGCCCGCACAAGCAGUGGAGUAUGUGGUUUAAUUCGAAGCUACGCGGAAAACCUUACCAGGUCUUGACAUCUAACUAACGAAUCAGAGAUGAAUUAGGUGCCCUUCGGGGAAAGUUAAGACAGGUGGUGCAUGGUUGUCGUCAGCUCGUGUCGUGAGAUGUUGGGUUAAGUCCCGCAACGAGCGCAACCCUUGUUGUCAGUUGCUACGAAAGAGCACUCUGGCAAGACUGCCGUUGACAAAACGGAGGAAGGUGGGGAUGACGUCAAAUCAUCAUGCCCUUUAUGACCUGGGCCACACACGUACUACAAUAGCGGUAAACAAAGAGCAGCGACACUGUGAAGUGAAGCAAAUCUCUAAAAGCCGUCUCAGUUCAGACUGCAGGCUGCAACUCGCCUGCACGAAGUCGGAAUUGCUAGUAAUCGUGGAUCAGCAUGCCACGGUGAAUACGUAACCGGGCCUUGUACACACCGCCCGUCA
rnacentral:rRNA from 1 species